ACCCUACCCCCGAGAUUCACACAGCAGGGUCCACUCCCUCCCAGGCUUGGCUUCCCCAGGCUGAGGGCUGGGCAUUGGCACCCUUCCACAGACCACAUGAGUCAGCUCCCUCCCCACCCAACAAGGCCAGUGCUGGCUCUGUCUGAGGUCCCUUUGUUCAGGUCUCUUCUGAAGAAAGGCACCAGAGGCUCCAGCUCUGGCCAUAAUGCCCCAGAUGAAGCUUGACAGGAGAACUGGACACAACAGGCCAGAAUAUGCAUUCCAGGAGAGCAGGGAUAUUUGUUUUGUUCCCCGAUGUAUCCCCUGGAUCUAGCACAGGACUGGCAGGAACCCCAGAUUCUUCUCCAUGGUCGGAAUCAUUGCAAAAUAACUGGUUUCCCUAGGAUCACCAGCUGUCAUGGACUGAUUUGUGUCUCUCCAAAUUCAUAUGUUGAAUACUUAACCUGCCAUGCGAUUGUGAUUGGAGAUAAUUCCUUUAGGGAAGCAAUGAAGGUUAAAUGAGGUCAUAGGUGGGAGCUUAAUCCAAUGGGACUGGGGUCCCUACAAGAAGAGGAAGACACCAGAGCUCUCUGUCUCCACACACAGAGAAAAGAGGCUGUAUGAGGACACAAGAGAAGGUAAUAGCUGUCUACAAACCAAGAAGAGAAGCCUCUCCAGAAAAUGAACCCUGCUGGAACUUGGUCUUGGACUUUCCAGCCUCCAGAACUGGGAGAAAAUAAAGUUCAAAAUAAAGUUCUGUUGUGUAA
rnacentral:lncRNA from 1 species